rnacentral:tRNA from 1 species
GCCUUGGUGGCUCAGUCGGUUGGGCGUCUGACUUUGGCUCAGGUCAUGAUCUCACGGUUCAUGAGCUCAAGCCUCAUGUUGGGCU